UACAGAGGUCCCAAGCGUUGUUCGGAUUCACUGGGCGUAAAGGGCGCGUAGGCGGCCUGCUAAGUCGAACGUGAAAUCCCCGAGCUCAACUCGGGAACUGCGUCCGAUACUGGCAGGCUUGAAUCCGGGAGAGGGAUGCGGAAUUCCAGGUGUAGCGGUGAAAUGCGUAGAUAUCUGGAGGAACACCGGUGGCGAAGGCGGCAUCCUGGACCGGCAUUGACGCUGAGGCGCGAAAGCCAGGGGAGCAAACGGG
rnacentral:rRNA from 1 species